AACAAACUGGGAUUAGAUACCCCACUAUGCCUAACCGUAAACUUUAAUUUACACCCCCCUAUCGCCUGGGAACUACGAGCCAAGCUUAAAACCCAAAGGACUUGACGGUACCCCAAAUCCACCUAGAGGAGCCUGUCCUAUAAUCGAUAACCCCCGUUUAACCUCACCAUUUCUUGUCUAUCAGCCUGUAUACCUCCGUCGCCAGCUUACCGCAUGAGCGUUUUAAGUGAGCCCAAUGCCCAUACGCCAACACGUCAGGUCAAGGUGCAGCUAAUGAAGUGGGAAGAGAUGGGCUACACUUUCUAUUCUAGAAAAAACGAAAGACUACCUAUGAAACCUAGUCAGAAGGAGGAUUUAGUAGUAAAAAGAAAUCAGAGCGUUCUUUUUAAUCUGGCACUGGGGUG
rnacentral:rRNA from 1 species